UACGUAGGGUGCAAGCGUUAAUCGGAAUUACUGGGCGUAAAGCGUGCGCAGGCGGUUUUGUAAGUCUGUCGUGAAAGCCCCGGGCUCAACCUGGGAAUUGCGAUGGAGACUGCAAGGCUUGAAUCUGGCAGAGGGGGUAGAAUUCCACGUGUAGCAGUGAAAUGCGUAGAGAUGUGGAGGAACACCGAUGGCGAAGGCAGCCCCUGGGUCAAGAUUGACGCUCAUGCACGAAGCGUGGGAGCAACAGG
rnacentral:rRNA from 1 species